rnacentral:rRNA from 1 species
AACGAACGCUGGCGGCAUGCCUAACACAUGCAAGUCGAACGAGACCUUCGGGUCUAGUGGCGCACGGGUGCGUAACGCGUGGGAACCUGCCCUUAGGUUCGGAAUCACUCCCCGAAAGGGGUGCUAAUACCGGAUAAUGUCUUCGGACCAAAGAUUUAUCGCCUUUGGAUGGGCCCGCGUUGGAUUCGCUAGUUGGUAGUGUAAAAGCCUGCCAAGGCGACGAUGCAUAGCUGGUCUGAGAGGAUGAUCAGCCACACUGGGACUGAGACACGGCCCAGACUCGUACGGAAGGCAGCAGUGGGGAAUACUGGACGAGGGGCGAAAGCCUGAUCAAGCAAUGCCGCGUGAGUGAUGAAGGCCUUAGGGUUGUAAAGCUCUUUUUCCCGGGAUGAUAAUGACAGUACCGGGAGAAUAAGCUCCGGCUAACUACGUG